rnacentral:rRNA from 1 species
UACAGAGGUCUCAAGCGUUGUUCGGAUUCAUUGGGCGUAAAGGGUGCGUAGGUGGCGCCGUAAGUCAGGUGUGAAAUUUCGGAGCUUAACUCCGAAACUGCGUUUGAUACUGCGGUGCUUGAGGACUGGAGAGGAGACUGGAAUUCACGGUGUAGCAGUGAAAUGCGUAGAUAUCGUGAGGAAGACCAGUGGCGAAGGCGGGUCUCUGGACAGUUCCUGACACUGAGGCACGAAGGCCAGGGGAGCAAACGGG